rnacentral:lncRNA from 1 species
UGUCUUUUAAAAAAAGACGUUCAAGGUUUUCAUUAAGAUUUGAUUUUUUCUCACCGAUAUCCCUUUUUAUCCAUCAUUUUUGACAUGUUUAAUUUUUUUCUACGACGGAAAUGUCAUUAUUUUAGGGAUGAAGACAUAGGUUCAUGCCACGCUAGUUUGAGGAGUCAGGAAUAAAAAUUCUUAUAUAGAAUGAUAUAUCACCAGUACUGUUCAAAGGCCGCCAAAAUUGAGAUUAAAGUAUGCCCAAACAUACACAGCAGAAGAGACUUAUGAUGGUGGAUAUGCUAGGAGGGACCCAUAUGCUGAGGAAGCUUACCAAGAACCAGUUGCUGCUGCUGGGUUGGAGAGAAUAUAAAGCACUACUGGUUUUCCACUGAGUGGGAUAACGACCACUUCUGUGGAAACUAAAGUUCCUUUACCAAAACAGGAUCUACGCUGGAAUAAUCCAAAACUUGGUUUUGGCUAAGAUUGUUUAAAUAGAAUUUUAUUAUCUUGGAUGCAGUACACUCAUUUCGUAUGGUUUCGUUCGUUAAAGUGAGCACUGUUAACAUACGGCUCUUGUUCUUAUCGUGACUAUCGAAGAUCAAAGUCGCAAUUAACUUGUUGAUGUAAUGAAACUGGCUUAGUGGUCUACUCGUCAAGACAACAUGUUAAUCCCCACAGUUCCACUUGCAAAGGCACUGAUCAAGGCCACAACUGAAGAUCAAACAUUCAUAUCCAAAAUCCAAUGAAGGAUAAUAUAGAGUGGUGUAAUGUAUAUAAAAAGAACCACUGGGAUAGAAAUCUCACUUGGGUGUAUAUAAUUGUGUCCCCACUAUGAGUGGUGGGGCAUAUAGAUUUGGUCUUUUCCGUGCGUCUGUCCGUUCGAACAGUUUCUGACGCACCUAACUCAAAAUGUAUUUGAUAUAAAUUGAUGAAACCUUGCACGAGUCUUUAUCAUAUGAACUUGUGUACUUAUUUAUCGUCUGGAUCCGCCCCCUAUUUCCAGAGUUAUGGCCCCUGAAAUAGUCAAAAAUGCACAUUUUCACCUUGUGAUGGGACAGUGCACCUUUGGCAUUCUUCUUGAGAUUUUAGGGCUAAUUACAGAGUUAGGGCCCUUAAAAUAGCCAAAAUAUCGGAUUUUUUUUGUUUGUCACGGAUGCUCGUAGCUCAAAGAUACUAUGUCCUACGUAGGCGAUACUAACUCCUACAUAGGAGAUACUUAGACCUGCGUAGGAGAUACUAACUCCUACGUACGAGAUACUAAGUCAUACGUAGGAACUACUAUGUUCUACGCAGGAGAUACUAACUCCUACGUAGGAGAUACUAAGUCCUUCGUAGGAGAUACUAUGUCCUACGUAGCAGAUACCAACUCCUACGUAGAAGAUACUAAGUCCUACGUAGGAGAUAGUUAGUCCUACGGAAGACAAAUUUAAAUCUCCCUACUGGCACCAAGACGCUGUCAUAUAGGAGCGAUGCAGGUCAGAUAAAUGAAUUCACGCCCUGUAAAUUCCCGAUGAAAUAAUAGGUUUCCCGUGAUUAAAUAACACGGUUUCCGUUUUAGUACUCAUAAAUAUGUGAGUUAGUGAUUAGGUAUUAACUAAAGCCGUAUCAGAUAUCAGCGCAGGAUGUGGGUUCGAAACCCUGCUUGGAAAAUAGAAUUCUUUCAUGAAGGAGCUAUCCAGAUAGCUUGUUCUGUCCAGGUCCCCGCCGUGCCAGAAUUAAUGUCCGGACGUACAUCACCAUUAGAGCUGGAAAGUAACUCCUAACCUACAGAGAUUGCCAGUUGAAUUCUCCCAAGAAGCAACGCAUCCUCGAUUUCCAGUACCCGACGCCGACAAUAUUGUUGCCCAAACUUCUAAGUUUGAUAGCAAGCUGUUGAAAUCAUCGAUUAAGGAACGCUAGUCCGAUAGACAAAAGUUCUCUAUGACCGGCUACUACGAAACAAGUCGAAAGAAUUCCAUCAUAUCCUGGCAUUAACUGACUGCGGCGUGCGAUAAAACCCGGUUAACAAGUCAAGGUUAUUCAUCAUGUGAGCAUCAGCUGAUAAAUAGGGGAAACCCAAGCAUGUCAAGUGUUUUACACCAAAAUAUUUAUGAACUUUGUGCAAGUUUAUCACGUCUUAGGAUAUGCAAAAUAAACUGAUUUGUUUUUGUGUUUGCAAUAUUUUGUAAUCAGGUGCCAAAUUAUGGUGUAAAGAUUUUAUACAUCAUCAACUUUUUAAUAACAUGUAAUUAACUUAUGGUGGCUGAUUUCAAGUUAUGGAUUUGCAAAAAAAUGUGGGUACACGUUCAAACGCACAACAAACAGCAGUCCAGUCCUGAAUGCAGACAUUUAAAUGCAUGUUGAACACAAAUAGGAAAAUGUAUAUUAGAUUUUUCAAGACAACUGGUAAAAUACAGAAAUUGCAACAAUAGAAAUAAAAUAUGAGAGAUGCAAGUGCAGUAAAAGUAUCUUUUUGCUACCUUUAGUUUGACAUUAGAACAAUAACAAAUGUUUAAAGAUGGGGAGGGUGUCAUUUAAUUAAUACGUUUGCACAAUUUAGUCAGCACACGUUAGAUUGUAUGUAGUGGAUCUCAUCUUGUAUGUUGGAGUUUAUCCAUAUUUUGCUUCCUAACAUUCUUAAAGAAAUUGGAUAACUGUGUUUGGGCAGGGUUGGGCUGAUAUCAGCUCCAUUCCUCUUUUUCACCUUGGUGUUUUCAUCAGAGCAAGUAGGAUAAAAAAACAGCCCAGAGACAACAACAAGGGAAAGCAAAAAUACUACAAAAUUUCCAUAUUAUCACUGCGGUCUGAUGGUAUUAGCAUGAUUAUAAACUCGGCAACACUUCACUUUUAUAACCGCAACAUGCGGUUUAAACUAUAGUUGCCUUUCCAACCCCUCAAUGAAAUGAAAAAGAAAAUAUUAUUUAUCAUAAAUGAACUUGAAAGCAUAUCUUACAUAGGCUAGUGACAAGAUCUAUACUCUGAACAUUUAUUAUCACUUUAAUUCGAACUUUACAUUAUAACUAAUAAUAGCAGUGAAUCGAUGAAAUAACGAAAUCUUAGUGGUUUUCCUAUGUGGUUUUCCUGCGUUACCAAAUCGAUUAAAUGCACGUUCAAUGUACUAUUACAAAACCCUGGUCCAUAGUUUGAUUUGCAGAAGAAAUUAUGAAAUGUCAUGUAAUAAAACACUUAAUGAAUGGCUUGCCGAUCAAAAGUGAAUACUAUUGCCCUUAGGUUCUUUGGACUUUGUGCAAUAAGUUUGAUUAUUGACCAGCAAAACAUUCAAUAUCAGUAAAUAUAUAAUAUCAUGCAAUCAUUAGCUGUAUGUUGAUCUCAAAAUUAAAAUUUUACCAUUAACGUGAAUAAAACAUGCUCUAUUUUUAAAUGUACUAACUCGGAAAUAAACUAGAAUACAUCUAGAAAGAUAAAUUAUCUGUUAUACAUUCGCCUACUUUGCAAUUUAUAUAAAAAAAAAUAUGGUUAAACCAGCCACGUGAGCAAAUGGUUUGAAGUAAAUAUUGUUUGUUUGUUAACAACAUUACAAUGUUUAUUUUAAUACUCAUUAAAUUUUAUUAUUCUCUUAGUUUAUAAAAAAAAAUUGUUACACCAAACAUAUUGAUGUAUAUUCAUUGACAACGCCCGCAAUCUUUUUAAGUAGUAGCACAACAGAAUAAGAUUGCCCUCUCCUUCACAUUCCCAACCCCCUACACCGUCACCGCGCCACUCGGCCGAGAUCUGACCUAAACUCAUCAAAGUUUAGACCCAAAAUGUACCAGAGGCCACCAUUUCAUACCUACUAUACAAACAAAAUUUCCAAGGCGACUCCUUAUGGAAGCGGGAAGAGGGUACCUACUCUCAUUCGGCACAACGAGACUUCGCCUUCAGCUUGUGCGAUCCCGAGCCCCAACCCAUUAAAAUUCUCUGGAUCCAGGACUGCCUAAAUCAAUUAUACAUUUUGCACAAUUUGUUAUACAUGGUAGACAAGAAAAAUAACUUUAGAUGUCUUCCUGUUAACCAUGGUUAUUUUCCCAAUUCUCAGCACAGUGUUGAUAAAACUCCUUGCGAUAGCUCGGCUUCUCAUUGCCUGUUUUCCCCUCUGGAAGCGAAAUUGCUGUCUCACACAUGUAGGCAUGUUAGAUCCUUACUAUAGAACCGGUUAAUCAUAAAAUUGGAGAAACGGACGAAAGACGCGGCUGCUGUAUCAAUUAUAAGGCUUCAAUAAGAGCAGUAUACUACUUAAAUAAAUAUUUGAAGGGUUGCAUACUUCACACAUCUAUGCUAUACAUUUUUGACAUUGUUAAUGGCUUCAUGAUUGUAAAACGAAAGGUCAGAUAGAUUUAUUUAACAAAAUCCCAUUGCUGUAAGGUUUCCUAUUGCCUUUUAGUACAUUGGUAAUCCGCACCAUAUCUAUACAUUUACUCGCUCGAAAGAUGAAGAGAAAAAGAACGUUACUGGGUAACUAACGCAUAAUCACGUCAUACUUCAAAUUUCUGCCGGGCCGUGGUUUCAGCUGAAUCCUUGAAUGGAAUGUAGAAAUCUUUCAUAAUGGAGCUAUCCUGCUGUUUGUUGACGGUAGGUGGUUAUACCCAGAUCCCCGUCAGUGAACGAAAAAAAAAUCAGACGUGUACCACAAUUAAAACCUUGUAAGUAACCAUGUAGGGGAAUCCUAAAUCUGAAGUUAAAUGCUAGUUAACAAGUUAUCAACACCUGCCCUACAGUUGCCGACAAGCCGACGUCGAAGACAUUGUCGCGAAAACUAGAAAUUUAUUGACAAUACUAGAACCAUCCUGGGUCGUGAGUCCUAAAACAAGAUUUUUCUUUCAUCAUAUGUUAGACUGAGUUAAUUAGUUGCGGCAACUCUACGUAUAUUUUUGCUGACCAAAUAGCAAAGUACGAUAAAAAAAAAACGGUUAUCGGUUAUCAAGUCAAUGUUAUAUCGCCUACACUAUGCGGAGAUAAGCUAAUCAACGGGGAAAACCCAAAUAUGUCAAGUGUUCUUCGAAAAUGUUGAAAUUUUGAUUUUAUAAUUUAGUUGUUUUUUGUUGUUGUUGUUGUGUUGUUUUAUGUUGUUGCUGUUUAUUU